rnacentral:piRNA from 1 species
UCACUCAGUGCCUCUGUGUUGACUCUUGU